rnacentral:rRNA from 1 species
UUGAGUGGCGAACGGGUGAGUAACACGUGGGCAACCUGCCCAAAAGAGGGGGAUAACACUUGGAAACAGGUGCUAAUACCGCAUAACCAUAGUUACCGCAUGGUAACUAUGUAAAAGGUGGCUAUACUACCGCUUUUGGAUGGGCCCGCGGCGCAUUAGCUAGUUGGUAGGGUAAAGGCUUACCAAGGCAAUGAUGCGUAGCCGAAUUGAGAGGUUGAUCGGCCACAUUGGGACUGAGACACGGCCCAAACUCCUACGGAAGGCAGCAG